rnacentral:tRNA from 1 species
GGUGACAUAGUAUAGUGGUCAGUACGAGUCGUUGUGGCUUUCUCCUCGAGAGUACGACGUUUCCGACUAGACCCCGGUUCGAUUCCGGGUGUCGCCA